CCUCCAGACUCUGGGUCCUUGGUUUCCGAAUGAGAUGCAAAAGUAGCUCUCAUCAGAAAAGAGCACUUUGGACCACUGAGCAACAGACCAGUGCUGCUUCUCUGUAGCCCAGGUCAGGCACUUCUGCCGCUGUUUCUGGUUCAAAAGUGGCUUGACCUGGGGAAUGCGGC